UGGAAAAUCCCACGGACGGAGGAGCCUGGUGGGCUACAGUCCAUGGGGUCGCUAAGAGUCGGACACGACUGAGCGACUUCACUUUCAUGCAUUGGAGAAGACAAUGGCAACCCACUCCAGUGUUCUUGCCUGGAGAAUCCCAGGGACGGGGGAGCCUGGCGGGCUGCCAUCUAUGGGGUCGCACAGAGUCGGACACGACUGAAAGCAACUUAGCAGCAGUAGCAGUAGUGUAUAUGUUAAACCCAUAUACUCCUAAUUUAUCCCUUCCCCUCUUGUAGUUUACUUUCAUAAUCAAGCCAGAAUCUUCUUUCUCUUACCUGUGACAUGAGAUAAUAUAUUUACCUCUCUUUCUCAGACUUAUUAGGAUUAAAUAAGGCAAAACAUGGAAAGGGCUUAGCACAGUGCCUAGCACAUAGUAUAUGCUCAAUAAAUGUUGUUGGUAUUUAUUGUUAUUGGCAACUACUUCCCAGGUGGCAGGUGGUAAAGGAUCCACCUGCCAGUGCAGGAGACGCAAGAGAUCCCUGGGUUCAGAAGAUCUUCUGGAAUAGGAAAUGCCAACCCACUCCAGUAUUCUUGCCUGGAAAACUCCAAGGACAGAGGAGCCUGGAGAGCUACAGUCCAUGGAGUCACAAGGAGUUGGAUGUGACUGAGAGGGAGGCGUGCAUGCACCCUACCCCCCACCACCAGAAGGUCCUUUGUGCUGUUCUUGAAGAGACAUCCUUUCCCUAAAGAGCUGCACAGGGGAGGGGGAUCCUCAACAUGUGAUUCAAAGGGAAGGUAAUUGUUUAAGACAUCUCCUUUGUCCAUUUGUUCAUCCAUUUUUUUGUUGUUGUUGUUCAUUCAUUUUUUACUCAAUGUAUGUUUAUUGAACAGCCAGCCAUGAACCAGGCACUAUGCUAUCAGUGAGAAUGGAGAGAAAUAGAUUCAUGAAAUAGCAUCAUAGAGGGAAUUCUAGGCCGACUAUCUCAGAUACAAAUCUCUGGGGGUCCCAGACUGUUCAUUUGGAGGAAGAGGUGGCACACUGCCAGUUAGGUGGUAAAUGUAUGAGUUUGACAUCAGAGGGAUCAAGGUUUCAAUCAAUAUGCUGUUUACUUUCCAUGUGAACUGGAACAAAUUCAUCAUAUCUCUAAACCCCAUGUUUCUUCAUGUGUUAAAUGGGAACUAUAUACAUACCAUGAAAGGUUAUUAUAGUUGAUGUAUGGCAGAAACCAACACAAUAUUGUAAAGGAAUUAUCCUCCAAUUAAAAAUAAAUAUAUUAAAAAAAGAAAAGUUAUGAAGAUU
ensembl:lncRNA